CAUGGGACGCACAUGCUUGUAAAAAUCUCAUGGCUAGGCUACAUAGCUAGCUACCGUGCUAUCUUACACGUUACUUAAUCUAAGCUAACUGAUAGAAACUGACUGUUAGAAUUUUACAGUGCAGAUAGUGGUGGUUAACUAGCACUACAAGACUAAACGCAUGUACAAAGCGCACACAACUGAACAUCUGUAACCUACCAAAGUUAGCUAACGCUAGGUAACUAGCUAAGAUUGGUAAAUUUGUCGCUAGCUAGCCAACCUAGCUGUAAACUUUGUGUAAACUUUGACUUGUGUUGUUUCAAGUACACAUGCAUCUAGUUAUUUUUAGUUAAGAUAACAACGAUCGAGUAACGUUAUAUCCUUUUCGACACCAUAGAUGACAGGGGCGAAGGUAAAGACAAGAAAAUCGGGUCCUUGAAGUACAGUCUAAAAUGGACGACGAACUAAAGGUAGACGAGACACGAACAAAAAAUGUGGAUGAGACUAAAAUGGAAGAUGAAAAUACUGAAGAAAAAGUGAAACAGGAAACGGAAGAAGAGGAAGACGAGGAGGCCUUGCCACAUUCAGAAUUUUUGGAUAUCUUUGAAGAAGGUCUGGCUUUGAUAGUACAGGACCCACUACUUUGUGACCUACCAAUACAGGUCACUUUGGAGGAGGUAAACUCUCAGGUUGCGCUGGAGUAUGGGCAGGCCAUGACUGUGCGUGUGUGUAAAGCUGAUGGAGAGAUCAUGCCCAUCGUGGUAGUUCAGUCUGCCACUGUACUGGAUCUCAAAAAGGCCCUGCGGCGGUACAUGGAGCUCAAGCAGCAGCGUGAGGGUGGCAUCAAGCACAUCAGCUGGAAAUAUGUGUGGCGAACCUAUCACUUGGUCUUUAAUGGAGAAAGAUUAGAAGAUGACAAAAGGAAACUAAAGGACUAUGGAAUCAGGAACAGAGAUGAAGUAACUUUCAUGAAGAAAUUGAGGAAGAAAUGAAAAGGAGGGACUUAUAAAGCUCAUUUUUUAAGGUUCUCCCUUUGGCAGUCAGCAUCUGGUGUGCAGAAGCCUGGAACUCAGGACAGUUGAUAUUCAACCACAAGCUUUAAAUAUUAUAAUCUAGUUCCUGGUGUUGUGACCUGAAACUCCAGUGUUCAGCAUUUCCUGGCUAAACCCAGCAGACUACUGAGACACUGGCUAUAACAAAUAUCAAGAUCUUUGAACUGUAUUUUUAAAAUUUCCUUUCUGGGGUUAUACUUUCAAAUCUAAUUUUCUUUUCUUUGAGAUUAAUUUUAUAGCUCAUUUGAAGCUUUCGAAGUUGAGUAUUCAUUUUUAUUUGUACAUCUUAAGACUCCUUAUGUGUAAAUUUUGUUUUCCCGGUAAUACUCCUUAAUUUUGUCAAUAAAGUUCUUAAGUUGUGAUGUUAUUAAGUAAUUAAGUAAUAAUAAGGCUGCAGUUGAUGCUCAAGGUUGCGCAGGAGCAGGAUCUUCAGGGUUUGGAGCUGUGAGGAAGUUGGGAUAAAGAUCACUUGCAUCUUCCUUGGCAUUCAGCAUGCCUGAGAAAUCAAAAGAGUUUCAGCUGGAGAUGGUUUUCGCGGAGCUACAGGAACUGGCAUUCCGCAGGGAGCAUCUCACAAACCGGCUCAAUCUGUUGAUUAUGCUAACGGAAUUCCGGCAGAAUGCUGGCCUUCAUGAGGAAGGUUAGUAAGGCAAGACUGGACAUUAAUUUCAGUUACUGAAAAGUUGUAACCAUGCAAAAUUAGCUGAAUAAUUAUAGCAUGUGUUUAAGAUGAACUGAUUGUCAUUGUUGCCUGUAGUUGAUGAAAAAGAAGGCAUUGAGGAAGAACUUAAGAAACUUUCAGAAAGGAAGAGACAACUGCAACAAUUGCAAGAAAGACUUGAGUUUAAACAUUUUACAGGUAAUGUUCAAUGCUGGACGCUGAUCUUUAAUGCUGAUUUCAGCCAUUUGCUCAAUUGAACAGAAUUUUACAUAUCACAAUGUAUUAUAGCAUAUUUUAAAAUGGUGUUAUAGGUGGUACUUUCACCACCGUUCCGAUAGAUGAGCCUACCACACCUUCAUCUAUGGGUACUGAAAUAUUUUUUGUGGAACCCCCACCCUAUCCAGCUCCUCAGGUGAUUAUGGACGUAUCAAAACUGCCCCCAUGUUCCUCUCCAACAAGAUGCCCCCAUUGUGAACAGUUUGUUACUACAGAGGUGAUCACCAUGACAGGGAGCACAGCCUGGCUAGUGUGCCUUGUAUGUGCUUUCCUUGGAUGCAUAGCAGGCUGCUGCCUCAUUCCCUUCUGCAUGAGUAACUACAAAGACAUUGUACACAAGUGUCCAAAGUGUCGCAGUCAGAUCCACAAGUGCACCAAGCUUUGAGUGUGGAGGAUUUCAGCAAUGAAGUGCCUUGUUUCCCAGACAGCUGAGUGAGUUUUUCAGCUGGUUGCAAAUGGGACCAUCAAAGGAUUAAAGUACAAUGUUGACUUUGUUAAGAGCUCGAAAGGUUGAAAGCUUCACUGCUCUUCAUGAAAGAGACAAACUCUUAGCAUGUGAUACAGACUUCUAAAGUUUUUAAAGCAACAAAGAUUUUAGAGAUUGUGUUGCUGGGAUUACACUGGGAACAAAGGAAGUCUGUUCCUUUUUUAAUGGUGCAAGUCUGUAUAUACAAUAAACAUAUGUACAAAAACAAUUAUUUACAGUUGCAUAUGUGCCAAAGUUAUAAACUGAAUAUAAAGAAAUAUUUACACUGUGCAAAAAGAUGUAUUGUAUUCUACAAAGUCAAACUAUAUACCAAGUUUUAUCAGCUAUUAUUGAAAGGUUUUCCAGCAUGUACUCAUUUUUGCAUAAUGGGACCUGAAAGUGUUGAAAGACCUCGGUCUGUAAUAACUUGUAAUGUUGCACACAGUAGCGACUGGAUGUAGACAGGAAGCCUGCUGUGUUUCUGAUGAAGGUCUACAUGCUGUCCAAUAGAAAACCUUUAACUCCCAACAGCAUAAAUAAAGGAGAAUGUGUUUGCUGA